AUUGAACGCUGGCGGCAUGCCUUACACAUGCAAGUCGAACGGUAACAGGUUAAGCUGACGAGUGGCGAACGGGUGAGUAAUAUAUCGGAACGUGCCCAGUCGUGGGGGAUAACUGCUCGAAAGAGCAGCUAAUACCGCAUACGACCUGAGGGUGAAAGCGGGGGAUCGCAAGACCUCGCGCGAUUGGAGCGGCCGAUAUCAGAUUAGGUAGUUGGUGGGGUAAAGGCCUACCAAGCCUACGAUCUGUAGCUGGUCUGAGAGGACGACCAGCCACACUGGGACUGAGACACGGCCCAGACUCCAACGGGAGGCAGCAGUGGGGAAUUUUGGACAAUGGACGCAAGUCUGAUCCGGCCAUGCCGCGUGCGAGAAGAAGGCCUUCGGGUUGUAAACCGCUUUUGUCAGGGAAGAAAAGGUUCUGGUUAAUACCUGGGACUCAUGACGGUACCUGAAGAAUAAGCACCGGCUAACUACGUGUCAGCAGCCGCGGUAA
rnacentral:rRNA from 1 species